rnacentral:lncRNA from 1 species
CAAAGGGGCAGCCACUGGACAAUGAGGCAAGUGCAAAAAGGAAAACCUCAGGGAACUCAGAAAAAUCCUGUGUUUUUUGGCAGCAUGAUGUCAGCACCUUUGGUUUCCUGGGCUUCAACAGGCUGGGGAUCUUUGUCCUCUCAGCCACCAUCCCGAGGGUGUUCCCAGGACACUCAGGGGCUUUGAACCACCUGGGUCCAAACCUGUCCCUGGACUCUUCCCUGGGAUGAAGAAGAAGAUGAUUUCAGACUCUUCCCUGGGAUGAGGGCCAUGACUUUUUGAUCUUUCCCAUCCCAACCUAUGAAUUUUAGAGUCAGAAAUGUCAUUUUGACUCAAACAGACACAUUGCAGCCUGGUGUAAACAUCAUUUAGAAGUCAGAAGGGUGAACCUGAAGGAACUUUGGGGGUAAAUAAGAAAACCAGCAGAAAAGUAACACUGGUUCAAAUAUACACAAUCAUUUCUUCCUUAUUUUGCUCAUUUAGGUGACAAGGACUUUACAAUAUUGAUCUCCAUUUCCAUAUUAUAUCUGCACCAAAUCAAUCAUAGAAUCAUGAAAUGGUUGAAGUUGGAAAGAACCUUAAAUCCCAUCUGGUCCCACCCCCCAUAACACACACACUGCAGAGAAGUCGGGGGUGAUUCACCUCUCGCUCCUCCCAGAGCUACAGAAGAAUCCAGUCAAGUAUUAAUCAAAUUAAUUUGGUUGCAACGGGAUGUAAUUUGGAGACAGCUAAUGACUAAUCUGGCUGGGAAACCUGGAGCUCUGAUGGCAGGUUCUGGGCUCUGGCUUAUUCCUUCAUGCUGGAAUUUUUUCCUUUGUAAGUAAUUUGUGUCCACUCAGAGUUGUCAGACCUUCCCACCUCUCACAGAUGAGGAGCCGGUGUAAGAGCCCAGCCAGACAGGCAGAGGGUGCUGCUCAUCCUAGUGCCAGCCCUGGGAAGAUUUAUCCUCCUCACCUUGGCUCCAACCACCCACUGGAGAUUCCUCCAUGGCGGGAGUUGGAAUGAGAUGAUCACAGAAUGUGGGAAGGAAUCCUAAAGCCCAUCCAGUUCCACCCCUUCCCAGGGGAGGGACACCUUCUAUUAGAC